GCUAGCUACGAUAAUCGGUGCGAAUUGCAAGACACGCCGAGCACUUGAACUUCCAACGCACAUUGCGGCUUUCGGGUCCUUUCCGAAGUCACAUCUGUCUGAGAG
rnacentral:rRNA from 1 species